GGUUAAGCGACUAAGCGUACACGGUGGAUGCCACGGCAGUCCAGAGGCGAUGAAGGACGUGCUAAUCUGCGAAAAGCGUCGGUAAGGUGAUAUGAACCGUUACAGCCGGCGAUGUCCGAAUGGGGAAACCCAGUGCAAUUCGUUGCACUAUCGUUAACUGAAUACAUAGGUUAACGAGGCGAACCGGGGAACUGAAACAUCUAAGUACCCCGAGGAAAAGAAAUCAACCGAGAUUCCCCAGUAGCGGCGAGCGAACGGGAGCAGCCCAGAGUCUGAAUCAGCUUGUGUGUUAGUGGAACGGUCUGGAAAGUCCGACGGUACAGGGUGAUAGUCCCGUACACCAAAAUGCACAGGUUGUGAACUCGAAGAGUAGGGCGGGACACGUGGUAUCCUGUCUGAAUAUGGGGGACCAUCCUCCAAGGCUAAAUACUCCUGACUGACCGAUAGUGAACCAGUACCGUGAGGGGAAAGGCGAAAAGAACCCCGGCGAGGGGAGUGAAAAAGAACCUGAAACCGUGUACGUACAAGCAGUGGGAGCACCUUCGGGUGUGACUGCGUACCUUUGUAUAAUGGGUCAGCGACUUAUAUUCUGUAGCAAGGUUAACCGUAUAGGGGAGCCGCAGGAAACCGAGUCUUAACUGGGCGUUAAGUUGCAGGGUAUAGACCCGAAACCCGGUGAUCUAGCCAUGGGCAGGUUGAAGGUUGGGUAACACUAACUGGAGGACCGAACCGACUAAUGUUGAAAAAUUAGCGGAUGACUUGUGGCUGGGGUGAAAGGCCAAUCAAACCGGGAGAUAGCUGGUUCUCCCCGAAAGCUAUUUAGGUAGCGCCUCGUGAACUCAUCUUCGGGGUAGAGCACUGUUUCGGCUAGGGGGUCAUCCCGACUUACCAACCCGAUGCAAACUACGAAUACCGAAGAAUGUUAUCACGGGAGACACACGGCGGGUGCUAACGUCCGUCGUGAAGAGGGAAACCCAGACCGCCAGCUAAGGUCCCAAAGUCAUGGUUAAGUGGGAAACGAUGUGGGAAGGCACAGACAGCCGGGGAUGUUGGCUUAGAAGCAGCCAUCAUUUAAAGAAAGCGUAAUAGCUCACUGGUCGAGUCGGCCUGCGCGGAAGAUGUAACGGGGCUAAACCAUGCACCGAAGCUGCGGCAGCGACACUAUGUGUUGUUGGGUAGGGGAGCGUUCUGUAAGCCUGCGAAGGUGUGCUGUGAGGCAUGCUGGAGGUAUCAGAAGUGCGAAUGCUGACAUAAGUAACGAUAAAGCGGGUGAAAAGCCCGCUCGCCGGAAGACCAAGGGUUCCUGUCCAACGUUAAUCGGGGCAGGGUGAGUCGACCCCUAAGGCGAGGCCGAAAGGCGUAGUCGAUGGGAAACAGGUUAAUAUUCCUGUACUUGGUGUUACUGCGAAGGGGGACGGAGAAGGCUAUGUUAGCCGGGCGACGGUUGUCCCGGUUUAAGCAUGUAGGCUGGUUAUCCAGGCAAAUCCGGAUAAUCAAGGCUGAGGUGUGAUGACGAGGCACUACGGUGCUGAAGUAACAAAUGCCCUGCUUCCAGGAAAAGCCUCUAAGCAUCAGGUAACAUCAAAUCGUACCCCAAACCGACACAGGUGGUCAGGUAGAGAAUACCAAGGCGCUUGAGAGAACUCGGGUGAAGGAACUAGGCAAAAUGGUGCCGUAACUUCGGGAGAAGGCACGCUGGUGUGUAGGUGAAGUCCCUGCGGAUGGAGCUGAGACCAGUCGAAGAUACCAGCUGGCUGCAACUGUUUAUUAAAAACACAGCACUGUGCAAACACGAAAGUGGACGUAUACGGUGUGACGCCUGCCCGGUGCCGGAAGGUUAAUUGAUGGGGUUAUCCGUAAGGAGAAGCUCUUGAUCGAAGCCCCGGUAAACGGCGGCCGUAACUAUAACGGUCCUAAGGUAGCGAAAUUCCUUGUCGGGUAAGUUCCGACCUGCACGAAUGGCGUAAUGAUGGCCGGGCUGUCUCCACCCGAGACUCAGUGAAAUUGAACUCGCUGUGAAGAUGCAGUGUACCCGCGGCAAGACGGAAAGACCCCGUGAACCUUUACUAUAGCUUGACACUGAACAUUGAGCCUUGAUGUGUGGGAUGGGUGGGAGGCUUUUGAAGCGUGGACGCCAGUCUGCGUGGAGCCAACCUUGAAAUACCACCCUUUAAUGUUUGAUGUUCUAACGUUGGCCCCUGACCGGGGUUGCGGACAGUGUCUGGUGGGUAGUUUGACUGGGGCGGUCUCCUCCCAAAGCGUAACGGAGGAGCACGAAGGUUAGCUAAUCCCCGGUCGGACAUCAGGAGGUUAGUGCAAUGGCAUAAGCUAGCUUGACUGCGAGCGUGACGGCGCGAGCAGGUGCGAAAGCAGGUCAUAGUGAUCCGGUGGUUCUGAAUGGAAGGGCCAUCGCUCAACGGAUAAAAGGUACUCCGGGGAUAACAGGCUGAUACCGCCCAAGAGUUCAUAUCGACGGCGGUGUUUGGCACCUCGAUGUCGGCUCAUCACAUCCCUCGGGGCUGAAGUAGGUCCCAAGGGUAUGGCUGUUCGCCAUUUAAAGUGGUACGCGAGCUGGGUUUAGAACGUCGUGAGACAGUUCGGUCCCUAUCUGCCGUGGGCGCUGGAGAAUUGAGGGGGCUGCUCCUAGUACGAGAGGACCGGAGUGGACGCAUCACUGGUGUUCGGGUUGUCAUGCCAAUGGCACUGCCCGGUAGCUAAAUGCGGAAGAGAUAAGUGCUGAAAGCAUCUAAGCACGAAACUUGCCCCGAGAUGAGUUCUCCCUGAGACUAUAAGUCUCCUGAAGGAACGUUAAAGACGAUGACGUUGAUAGGCCGGGUGUGUAAGCGCAGCGAUGCGUUGAGCUAACCGGUACUAAUGAACCGUGAGGCUUAACCUU
rnacentral:rRNA from 1 species